GGGGAAGUCCGGUCGAAGUCCGGCGCUGACCCGCAACGGUAGGCGGGACCCGCACAGGGUUCCGUGAGCCCGAUUACCC
rnacentral:ncRNA from 1 species